CCUACGGGAGGCAGCAGUAGGGAAUCUUCCGCAAUGGACGAAAGUCUGACGGAGCAACGCCGCGUGAACGAUGAAGGCCUUCGGGUCGUAAAGUUCUGUUGUUAGGGAAGAACAAGUGCUAGUUAAAUAAGCUGGCACCUUGACGGUACCUAACCAGAAAGCCACGGCUAACUACGUGCCAGCAGCCGCGGUAAUACGUAGGUGGCAAGCGUUGUCCGGAAUUAUUGGGCGUAAAGCGCGCGCAGGCGGUUUCUUAAGUCUGAUGUGAAAGCCCCCGGCUCAACCGGGGAGGGUCAUUGGAAACUGGGAAACUUGAGUGCAGAAGAGGAAAGUGGAAUUCCAAGUGUAGCGGUGAAAUGCGUAGAGAUUUGGAGGAACACCAGUGGCGAAGGCGACUUUCUGGUCUGUAACUGACGCUGAGGCGCGAAAGCGUGGGGAGCAAACAGGAUUAGAUACCCUGGUAGUCCACGCUGUAAACGAUGAGUGCUAAGUGUUAGAGGGUUUCCGCCCUUUAGUGCUGAAGUUAACGCAUUAAGCACUCCGCCUGGGGAGUACGGUCGCAAGACUGAAACUCAAAAUGAAAUUGACGG
rnacentral:rRNA from 1 species